UCGGGUGAAAAUACUCGUAUGCGUAAGUUGAAUUUAUUGUAUGAUAUGUAACACUAUCUACUUUACCCAUGGACCAGACAGGGUUCCCUAGUGUUAAAAUAAAUUAUUUUAGUUAAGGCAAUUUUUGGUCUAUAAUGUUUUCAAAAAUGCAUUGAAACUUAGUAAACUUCUCAAAUUAAAGCAUUUUGAACUUUGCAUGAUUUCCGGAAUAUAUGCACCGGUGCAGAGAAACUUUGAACCGGUACAUAGCUAAUGAACUGUAAAUCCAUAUCUUUUCAGUUUUAUUCACUACUAGAAAAAAGACUUUUGGAUAAGGGAUUCCACUACUGAUAUGUGAAUACCAGUAGUGAAACACAAUUGACCAAAGGAUUCCACUACGGAUAUUUGAAUACCAGUAGUGAAAAGUUUAUAGACAAGGGAUUUCACUACUGGUUUUCUUAAAUCAGUAGUGAAAAGUAGACACGGUGGCAAUGUUGUAAUUACGUUGAAAUUUAUUUUAAUUGGAUUUCACUACUAAUUUGGUUUUCCACGGUAGUUAAAUCCCUUAACUUAGAAUGUAUACGCGCAAUGUUCAUUUGUUCCUUCAAUUCAUUCCCAAAAUGUAUACGCUCGCGCAGUCGUCUUCUUCGUCAUUCCCACAAAUCCCAAAUCCCUAAAUCGUUAAAUCCCUAAAUCGUUAGUUGCUAUGAUUAUUAAAUCCCAAAUCCCUAAUUCUCUUUGAAAUCCCUAAAUCCCAAAUUCCUAAAUCGUUUUCAUUCUUCUUCACAGCAAACACAUAAAAUUCUUCAUUCUUCUCUUUGAAACCCUAAAUCCCUAAAUCGUCUUCUUCUCUUUGAAACCCCAAACCAUGUUCUUCAUUCUUCGUGUUCUGGAAGCGUGUUUUUCAUUCGUCGUGUUCUCAGGUACUUGUUUUUUCUCAUUAUGUGCUACUGAGUGUAUAAGACUCUAUGAACCUUUCAAGAAUGUUUCUUCUGUUAACGAACCGUUUGUUAUUUCUAAUCUUCCUGGUGAGAUUAAAAUCACGAGGUCGCAGAUACCUCCUUUUGAGAGUUUGAAGGAAAUUAAAGGAAUGGGAGGGUCGAAGAUUGACACGAAGGGAAAAACUAACAAGUCUACUAAAGAGGUCUUGGAUGAUCCCAUUCUUAUGAGAAAUAUGCAUGGGGCCAAGAUGAACUUCAGCCACAAUCAAAGAGUGUGUCAAUAGCUUUGGAGGUCUUGGAGAAACUUUAAUCGAUUCUCUGGAUAUUCUAUACAUUAUGGGCCUCGAUGAACAGUUUCAGAAAGCCCGAGAUUAUGUACACUCUUGUCAAUAUUCUAGAUAAAUCGAUAUGAGACGCGCGUUAUAAAUUC